rnacentral:rRNA from 1 species
GACGAACGCUGGCGGCGUGCGUAACACAUGCAAGUCGAACGAGAGAGUGAGAGAAGCUUGCUUUUCUUACGAUCGAGUGGCAAACGGGUGAGUAACGCGUAAACAACCUGCCCCGCAGAUGGGGACAACAGCUGGAAACGGCUGCUAAUACCGAAUACGCUCCUCUUAGCGCAUGGUAAGAGGAAGAAAGGGUGGCCUCUGGAACAAGCUACCGCUGUGGGAGGGGUUUGCGUCUGAUUAGCUAGUUGGAGGGGUAACGGCCCACCAAGGCGACGAUCAGUAGCCGGUCUGAGAGGAUGAACGGCCACAUUGGAACUGAGACACGGUCCAGACUCCUACGGGAGGCAGCAGUGGGGAAUCUUCCGCAAUGGGCGAAAGCCUGACGGAGCAACGCCGCGUGAGUGAAGACGGCCUUCGGGUUGUAAAGCUCUGUUAUAGGGGACGAACGGCCGGGUAGCGAAUAGUACCCGGCAUGACGUACCUAAGGAAG